rnacentral:rRNA from 1 species
GACGAACGCUGGCGGCGUGCCUAAUACAUGCAAGUAGAACGCUGAAGGAGGAGCUUGCUCUUCUGGAUGAGUUGCGAACGGGUGAGUAACGCGUAGGUAACCUGCCUGGUAGCGGGGGAUAACUAUUGGAAACGAUAGCUAAUACCGCAUAAGAGUAGAUGUUGCAUGACAUUUACUAAAAAGGUGCAAUUGCAUCACUACCAGAUGGACCUGCGUUGUAUUAGCUAGUUGGUGGGGUAACGGCUUACCAAGGCGACGAUACAUAGCCGACCUGAGAGGGUGAUCGGCCACACUGGGACUGAGACACGGCCCAGACUCCUACGGGAGGCAGCAGUAGGGAAUCUUCGGCAAUGGACGGAAGUCUGACCGAGCAACGCCGCGUGAGUGAAGAAGGUUGUCGGAUCGUAAAGCUCUGUUGUAAGAGAAGAACGAGUGUGAGAGUGGAAAGUUCACACUGUGACGGUAUCUUACCAGAAAGGGACGGCUAACUACGUG